UACGUAGGGGGCAAGCGUUGUCCGGAAUUAUUGGGCGUAAAGAGCGCGUAGGCGGUCCGAUAAGUCGGCUGUGAAAGUCAGGGGCUCAACCCUUGAAAGCCGGCCGAUACUGUCGGACUAGAGUCCGGAAGAGGCAAGUGGAAUUCCCGGUGUAGCGGUGAAAUGCGCAGAUAUCGGGAGGAACACCUAUGGCGAAGGCAGCUCGCUGGGACGAUACUGACGCUGAGACGCGAAAGCGUGGGGAGCAAACAGG
rnacentral:rRNA from 1 species